rnacentral:rRNA from 1 species
GACGAACGCUGGCGGCGUGCUUAACACAUGCAAGUCGAACGAUGAAGAAGAGAAACGCGCCCUUCGGUUCAAAUUUCACUUCGGAUUAGUUGCAGACGGGUGAGUAACGCGUGAGCAACCUACCUCUUACAAAGGGAUAGCCUCGGGAAACCGUGAUUAAUACCAUGUGACACAUUCAUAAGGCAUCUUAAGAAUGUUAAAGCUACGGCGGUAAGAGAUGGGCUCGCGUCCCAUUAGCUAGUUGGUGAGGUAACGGCCCACCAAGGCGACGAUGGGUAACCGGCCUGAGAGGGUGAACGGUAACAGUGGAACUGAGACACGGUCCAAACUCCUACGGGAGGCAGCAGUGGGGAAUAUUGCACAAUGGAGGGAACUCUGAUGCAGCGACGCCGCGUGAGCGAUGAAGGAAUUCGUUUCGUAAAGCUCUGUUCUAUGGGAAGAAAAGGACUGUACCAUAGGAGAAAGCCCCGGCUAAAUACGUG